rnacentral:rRNA from 1 species
UGGGGAAUUUUGGACAAUGGGCGAAAGCCUGAUCCAGCAAUGCCGCGUGUGUGAAGAAGGCCUUCGGGUUGUAAAGCACUUUUGUCCGGAAAGAAAUCCUUGGCUCUAAUACAGUCGGGGGAUGACGGUACCGGAAGAAUAAGCACCGGCUAACUACGUGCCAGCAGCCGCGGUAAUACGUAGGGUGCAAGCGUUAAUCGGAAUUACUGGGCGUAAAGCGUGCGCAGGCGGUUUGCUAAGACCGAUGUGAAAUCCCCGGGCUCAACCUGGGAACUGCAUUGGUGACUGGCAGGCUAGAGUAUGGCAGAGGGGGGUAGAAUUCCACGUGUAGCAGUGAAAUGCGUAGAGAUGUGGGGGAAUACCGAUGGCGAAGGCAGCCCCCUGGGCCAAUACUGACGCUCAUGCACGAAAGCGUGGGGAGCAAACAGGAUUAGAUACCCUGGUAGUCCACGCCCUAAAUGAUGUCAACUAGUUGUUGGGGAUUCAUUUCCUUAGUAACGUAGCUAACGCGUGAAGUUGACCGCCUGGGGAGUACGGUCGCAAGAUUAAAACUUAAAUGAAUUGACGGGGUCAUAGCUG